rnacentral:lncRNA from 1 species
AUGAAUGAAUACGGGUGGGUUUGUGAAAGCGUCUGUGUGUUUGCGGGGGAGCGUCGAAGUGACAGCGUGUUUGGGAACGUGUCAGUGUGUUUGUGGGUGGGUGUGAAGGCGACAGUGUGUUUGCGUGUGGGAGGGGGUAAGUGUGGGUGUGGGUGGUGUGUGGAGGGGGUCGGGGGAGGGUUAGGGUUAUGCUGGGGUGGUGCACAACGCACACGCAAAGUGGUUUCCACCCGAGCCAGACAAGGCCCGAGCCGCGCCCGGGCGGCCCCCAGGCUGGGUCUAUGGAAGCGGGGUCGGGCGGGGGGUUGUGGUGGGGGUUUGGGCGGACCCCUACAGCUGCCCCGAGCGGUGGCGACCGGACUCGGGCCCAGGGCGACCACCUUUCGGGACCAGGCCCGUUCCUCUCCGCUGGACUCAGCCUCGCCGACCGGGGAAGGGGAGCGACCUUCGAGGCCGAUGUUCCCGGAGCUGACCGGCCAAGCCCGCAGAUGGUCAGUCAGUCGUCACUCCCCGGGGCCGCAGUCGGAAAAGAGGGAGGGCGGAAGGCAGACCCACGUCCUCAGUUUCUCCAACUCCCGGCAGGCCCACGUCCUCAGUUUCCCCAGGCGUACCAGCAGGUCUACAUCCUCAGUUUCCCCAGCUCCCGGCCGGCCCACGUCCUCAGUUUCCCCAGCUCCCGGCCGGCCCACGUCUUCAGUUUCCCCGACUCCCGGAAGGCCCACGUCCUCAGUUUCCCCAGGUUCACCGGCAGGUCCACGUCCUCAGUUUCCCCAGCUCCCGGGCAGGGGCUCCUCCGGGCUCCCGGACACCGGGCGAAGGCCCGCCGGGUCCCGAGCAUGGUGGGUCGAGGCAGAUCCCGGGCCUGAGGACGAAGGGACCAUCCCGGCCGGGAUACCGGGGACAGAGGCGGGACGGACCCCGCAGACCACGCCAGCCUUCCCGCAGCCCCGGGCCCAGCCCUCCCUUCGCGAAAUCUCCCCCCGGGCUCGGAAAGGUGGGGGAGACGCCUCCCAGGAGUCCAGACAGGAGCAGCAUCGCGGUUUAGUGGAGAGACCACCAACUGGGGAGUCAGAGGUCGUGGGUUCGAAUCCCGGCUCCCCCACUCAUCAGCCGUGUGACUUUGGAGAAGUCACUUCCCUUCGGGCCUCCGUCCCCUCACCUGUAAAAUGGGGAUGA